GAAUUUUGGACAAUGGGCGAAAGCCUGAUCCAGCAAUGCCGCGUGCAGGAUGAAGGCCUUCGGGUUGUAAACUGCUUUUGUACGGAACGAAGAGCUACGGGUUGAUCCCCUGGAGUCAUGACGGUACCGAAAGAACAAGCACGGGCUAACGACGGGCCAGCAGCCGCGGUAAUACGUAGGGUGCAAGCGUUAAUCGGAAUUACUGGGCGUAAAGCGUGCGCAGGCGGUUUUGUAAGACAGAGGUGAAAUCCCCGGGCGCAACCUGGGAACUGCCUUUGUGACUGCAAGGCUAGAGUACGGCAGAGGGGGGUGGAAUUCCGCGUGUAGCAGUGAAAUGCGUAGAUAUGCGGAGGAACACCGAUGGCGAAGGCAACCCCCUGGGCCUGUACUGACGCUCAUGCACGAAAGCGUGGGGAGCAAACAGG
rnacentral:rRNA from 1 species